CCUUGGGCUGUGUCUCUAGGCUGAUGCCUAUAUACUACUGUUUGCUCCGUUUGAAGGGCUAAGAAAAAUAAGGCUGGACGUGGCCUCCGAGAUGUAGAAUGUGUUAUAGAAGACAAACGCAAAUCAGCAUGUUAAGGCAUGUAUAGAUUUCUAGCUUCAUUUUAUGUUCAACCACAGUCUUCAAUAAAGUGAAAUCUAGAAUAUUUCACUAUUGUUACGUUUAACACAGAACAUAUCUACAGAAAAAUGAAGAUUCUCCAUGUAUAGCGAUCAGUGGUAGCUAUAUCCAACAGCAGAAUACGACUGUUAAUGUUCAAUAUGUUCAGGUUUGGAAACCCACGGAAGUGGGAAGGACAACACAUCUGGCAGGGGCGAUGAAGAACAAUGCAACAUCCAGUCUUCACCCCAGUCAGGUGACCAGGAGAUUGACCAGACCAGAGAAGAAGGUAAACAUGGAAGACACAAUGCACUAGAUGCUAUAUCCAACAGCAGUAUACGACUAUUAAUUUUCAAUAUGUUCAGGUUUGGAAACCCACGGAAGUGGGAAGGACAACACAUCUGGCAGGGACGAUGAAGAACAAUGCAACAUCCAGUCUUCACCCCAGUCAGGUGACCAGGAGAUUGACCAGACCAGAGAAGAAGGUUUGGAAACCCACGGAAGUGGGAAGGACAACACAUCUGGCAGGGACGAUGAAGAACAAUGCAACAUCCAGUCUUCACCCCACUCAGGUGACCAGGAGAUUGACCAGACCAGAGAAGAAGGUUUGGAAACCCACGGAAGUGGGAAGGACAACACAUCUGGCAGGGACGAUGAAGAACAAUGCAACAUCCAGUCUUCACCCCAGUCAGGUGACCAGGAGAUCGACCAGACUAGAGCGGAAGGUGAAGAGCUCCAGUCUGAACAUCAGCAGUGCUCCAUUUUCAGUGAAUCAGAUAAAGAGCAGCAGCCCUUGUCAGGACAUGGGCCAACAAAGGUUUGUUUUCUACACAAAGUGA
rnacentral:lncRNA from 1 species